GCCAUUUUCGAGUGAUGCCUGAUCUCAUCAAUCUAGCGGGAGGGAAGGGAUAACCUGUCCGAGCCUAGCGCGACGCUAGGAUCACGCCGGAAAAUCCCCCAAAAAUCAUCAAAAAAAUUAACUUAGAGCAGAGGGCAGUCGGUGGGGCUUCGCCAGAUGCGGCGCAGUCGUUGUUACCUGUUAAGUCAUUAAGAACCAGAAAGGGUGAAACAAAUGAAAAAAAUAAAUAACGUUGCAUUUUCACCUCGAUUUGGGAGCAGUAAAAGAUUUUAACCAUUAGAAGAAUACCAGUUCUGGAAAACAACCAAAGUUUCUUUGAUUGAAUGCCCAUGUAAUGCAUUGGAAUAUGAUAGGCGAUUAAGGUUUAACAAUGUUAAAAUGAAGAUAUUACUAAAAUGGCCCUCUAAAUAGCCCAACAAUUAUUAUUUUCUUUGUCCUAUGGAUUUGGCUUUGAAAGAUGUGCUGCUCUUAAUAAGGUAAAAACCAACUUUUGUAGCUAUUUCAUGUGUUAAGCACAUUCAAAAGUUGUUAGUUUAAUAAAUGAGGUUCUUAAGUUGGUAUGGGAAAAUGACUUGCUUUUCUCGUUUCAUGACUACAAUAAAUUACAGCACUGUAUUAA
rnacentral:lncRNA from 1 species